AGCCUCCCAAUUCCUACCUCAGGCUGUGUUCCUUACACUGAAUAAAAAGAAGAGAUAUAGUAAAUGCACCCCAUAUACACCUCAACCCAGGCCCUUUGCCUGGUCUCUAUUGUGAAAUGGGGGACAAAA